UUAACAGCUCCGGGGACUGAAAUAUUUUCUACAUCCACAGAACAGAUCCAGCCUGGGUAGCCGUUGUAUCCCCCAUCCCCAGUUCUCAAAGCUUCCUCCAAGGACUCCACUGCUACUGGGGAAAAGGGAGUUUAGUCUCUGUGGUCCAUUCUCGGGGCUCUC
rnacentral:sRNA from 1 species